rnacentral:tRNA from 1 species
GGCGUGUUAGUCAAUGGGUUAAGACGGUCCUCUUUCAAGGGACAGUAACGAGUUCAAGUCUCGUACACGCCCCCA